UUUAAUGUAAACACCUGAUACGAAUAAAUUUUUACCUAAAAUAUAGGUCUACAAUUUUAUAAAAUAAAAAGUGAUUCAAUUAAUGAGGUACACCAUAAAACUUCUCUCCUAUGAUUUACUGGUUAACUUUGUCUUCUCUUCUGUAUGGUCUAAAACUUAUUUAUGCAAUUAAAUCAAUAUAAAAUAAUAGAAAAUUAGAUGUUUAGUCUCUAAAUUCUACACGCCCUAACGUCUGAAAAAUAUUUAGAUGUCACUUAUAAAAUAAUUAUUGUACACUUUAUGUAUCAUUUGAUCAUAACUACACUGUUGCAUAUUAUAUUGCACAAAUAUUCAUGAUUUUAUUAAAUAAAUUAUUUCACAAUGUAUAAAUUAAAUUAUAAUUUAUUAUAAUACAAACCUGUUGUCACUUAGCACAUUUUAAAAGAACUUAACCAUCAAUUGCCUUGACUAAGGCACCAGAAAAUGUGCAAUUCAUUUUGAGGCACUAGAUAUAUGAUCAACCCGAAGAAAAAUAAAAUAAUUAAUUCACAAUUUUUUUAUAAACUAAGAAUGUCCUGGAACUUAUUUCAUUCAUAAUUUAACAUAUAUUUUAACAAACUCCUAGAAUAAAUUUAGAACCCGCUUGGAUAUAAAUUGCUAAAUACUUUUUGAAAACACUAAAUUCGGUGAAGUUUGAUUUAAAAUUAAAAAUAUGUUUGCAUAUGAAUUUUGAUAUAAGUUUUGAUAUGUUAAAAGGUCAUAUUUUAGGCUAAAAGAAUCUCAUAUGCUCAUGAUUUGGCCUACAAAAGAGGUCUUAAGCUAAUGUUUAAGAUUUAAAAUUUUAAUUUUCAAAAUCUCCAAAAAUUAGAUUAAUUCCAUAAACAAAAACAUAUUUCUUUUAAAAACUGAAAAAAAAAAUCCCAAGACUAAUCGCCAAACGCUUACUAAAUGUUUUAAUUAACACUCUGUUUGGAUCAUUGUUAUCCAUUGAUCAUAAUUAUUGUUGUAUUGAGAAAAACUGAAUUUAAAUUAAAGAUGUUGUGGCAUGACACGUGGACUGAUCAAGUAGUCAAAGCGUAACAAUUGAGUAAAAGGCACGGGAGAUGACAGAUACGGGAAGAGAAAUUUAAACAGGCACGAGAAUGAGUUUAGACACGAAUCUCGUACCAAUUAAAGUCAUCUAAUGCCAACGGAUCAAAAGGCAUUGAAGACAGGGAUCUGAAGACAAAAAGGAGUCCAAAUUCAUUAUUAAAUACCUUAUAUGUUAGAGAAUUGAUAUUUAAUAGCUUAGACACGAGUCUCGUACCAAUUCAAGUCAUUUAAUGCCAACGAAUCAAAAGGCAUUGAAGACAGAGAUCUGAAGACAAAAAGGAGUCCAAAUUCAGUAUUAAAUACAUGAUACGUUAGAGAAUUCAUAUUUAAUAGUAAUGAUUGUGUAACGGCUUAUUUAAUGUCAUUUAUUACUCAUAAUUGUCUCAUUAAAGCUGAGGUUUCAUCCCUUUCCCUAGGAUCAACUAUAAAAGGAAGAAGUCUUAUCAUUUGUAAGGACACGAAAUAUUAUCAACAUCAUAUUGAAAU
rnacentral:lncRNA from 1 species